rnacentral:rRNA from 1 species
UACGAAGGGGGCUAGCGUUGCUCGGAAUCACUGGGCGUAAAGCGCACGUAGGCGGACUCUUAAGUCGGUGGUGAAAUCCUGGAGCUCAACUCCAGAACUGCCCUCGAUACUGGGAGUCUCGAGUCCGGGAGAGGUGAGUGGAACUGCGAGUGUAGAGGUGAAAUUCGUAGAUAUUCGCAAGAACACCAGUGGCGAAGGCGGCUCACUGGCCCGGUACUGACGCUGAGGUGCGAAAGCGUGGGGAGCAAACAGG